UCCCUGGUGGCUCAGCAGGUAAAGAAUCCGCCUGCAAUGCGGGAGACCUGGGUUCGAUCCCUGGGUUGGGAA
rnacentral:tRNA from 1 species